rnacentral:snRNA from 1 species
AGCUUUGCGCAGUGGCAGUAUCAUAGCCAAAGAGGUUUAUCCGAGGCGUGAUUAUCGCUAAAAACUUUUCCCAAUAUCCUGCCACGAUGACUUGAAACAUAGUUGGCAUUGGCAAUUUUUGACAGUCUCUAUGGAGA